AUAAGCUGAACAGGAGUGCACCCACGAACGGUUUGGCAGGACAUUUUUCUACAUACAGCGUUUACCAAAUUGAAGCAUCCUCAAGUACAGCUUAUGAAACAUUUUUUAUCGCUUGGUAGGGGCAUCUAAAUGGAUGUGGAGGCCUGACCCGUGAUUUUACGUUUUCGAGAUGGACGAGGCAAGUAUAGGGAAACAGAAAUAACGGUUGCAACUGACGGGAUCUCGUCUAUAGCCUGCUUGAUCGACCGAACUUGAUAAUAUUGUCGUUACGGUGUUAGAUCCGUUGAAGGUGAUAGGGAAGGCCGCAAGCCGGACAAGAGUGAUCGUUGGUCAAGUGUCUGUGUCUGGCCUACUAUGACUACUGGUCUAUCAAUGAUGGAUAGUUUCGGCUUCAGCCAUGCCAUAUUUCCUCGUAUUCCCAGCUUCAUUUCUUCUAAGGCUUGAGGACAAGAACUGGUUUACUUAAGGCUACCUUAAAUGGACAUGUCCUGCAAAUCGGUUAUAGCUAAUAACCGUUUCAUAUAUGAGUAAUGAUAUAUGAUUCGAAAUCCUUUAGGCACAUAGGAGAAGUUCUACGUUGUGUCUCUUAAUUUCAACUGAACCUGUGAAAGCGAGAUAAUAAAAUAAUUCUAAAAAAAAUGUUUUUCAAGAUGAAAAAUGCGCUGAAACUUCAUCAA